CUCCCUCUCUCGCUCUCUCUCUCUCUCUCUCUCUCUCCUCUCUCUCUCUAUCUCUGUGUCCAGGGAGGCUGAGAUGAGAGGUAGCUAUUUGGUUGGAGUUUCACUCUUCUUGCCCAGACUGGAGUACAAUGGCGCAUUCUCGGAUCACCACAACCUCUGCCUCCCGGGUUCAA